rnacentral:rRNA from 1 species
GCGAAGGCGGCUCUCUGGUCUGUAACUGACGCUGAGGCGCGAAAGCGUGGGGAGCGAACAGGAUUAGAUACCCUGGUAGUCCACGCCGUAAACGAUGAGUGCUAGGUGUUGGGGGGUUCCACCCUCAGUGCUGAAGUUAACACAUUAAGCACUCCGCCUGGGGAGUACGACCGCAAGGUUGAAACUCAAAGGAAUUGACGGGGGCCCGCACAAGCAGUGGAGCAUGUGGUUUAAUUCGAAGCAACGCGAAGAACCUUACCAGGUCUUGACAUCCUCUGCCACUCCUAGAGAUAGGACGUUCCCCUUCGGGGGACAGAGUGACAGGUGGUGCAUGGUUGUCGUCAGCUCGUGUCGUGAGAUGUUGGGUUAAGUCCCGCAACGAGCGCAACCCUUGAUCUUAGUUGCCAGCAUUCAGUUGGGCACUCUAAGGUGACUGCCGGUGACAAACCGGAGGAAGGUGGGGACGACGUCAAAUCAUCAUGCCCCUUAUGACCUGGGCUACACACGUGCUACAAUGGACGGUACAAAGGGCUGCGACACCGCGAGGUGAAGCGAAUCCCAUAAAGCCGUUCUCAGUUCGGAUUGUAGGCUGCAACUCGCCUACAUGAAGCCGGAAUUGCUAGUAAUCGCGGAUCAGCAUGCCGCGGUGAAUACGUUCCCGGGCCUUGUACACACCGCCCGUCACACCACGAGAGUUUGUAACACCCGAAGUCGGUGAGGUAACCUUUUGGAGCCAGCCGCCGAAGGU